rnacentral:rRNA from 1 species
GACCUCAAAUCAGGUAGGAGUACCCGCUGAACUUAAGCAUAUCAAUAAGCGGAGGAAAAGAAAAUAACAAUGAUUCCCCUAGUAACUGCGAGUGAAGAGGGACAAGCUCAAAUUUUAAAUCUGUUAGGUUUACCUAACCGAGUUGUAAUUUGAAGAGGCGUUUUCUGUGUUUCUGAUCAGCCCAAGUCCUUUGGGAUAGGGCAUCAUGGAGGGUGAGAAUCCCGUUCGGUUGGUCAGAUUCGCUUUACGAUACGUCAUCUAAGAGUCAAGUUGUUUGGGAUUGCAGCUUAAAAUGGGAGGUAAAUUUCUCCUAAGGCUAAAUAACGGCGAGAGACCGAUAGCGAACAAGUACCGUGAGGGAAAGAUGAAAAGAACUUUGAAAAGAGAGUUAAACAGUACGUGAAAUUGUUGAAAGGGAAACGAUUGAAGCCAGUCGUACCUUCGGGUAAUCAGCCUUUCGGGUGCGAUUCUGUGGAGCGUGAGGAGUUAAACGCCUUCAUGCCUGCAUAUUCGUGCACUUUGGGUGUACUUGCCCGUGUGGUAGGUUAACAUCAAUUUCGGAUAUCAUAAAAUGGCUGGAGGAAUGUAGCUUCGGUCUCGUACUGAAGUGUUAUAGCCUCUGGUAGAUGUGAUGACCGGGAUUGAGGAUUGCAACGAAUACCUUUUGGGCUACCCGCCUGAUCUCUGAAAGUUGCUCUGGUGCCGAAAGCUUGCUUACGGUUAUCAAAGUUGACGUUCAAAAGGUUAGAACGGGUUAAAUUCGUUAAGGAUGUUGACGUAAUGGCUUUAAACGACCCGUCUUGAAACACGGACCAAGGAGUCUAACAUAUAUGCGAGUGUUC